rnacentral:rRNA from 1 species
UACGUAGGCAGCGAGCGUUGUUCGGAGUUACUGGGCGUAAAGAGUGCGUAGGCGGUUUUCUAAGUUUGGUGUGAAAUCUCCCGGCUUAACUGGGAGGGUGCGCCGAAGACUGGAAGGCUUGAGUAUGGGAGAGGUAAGCGGAAUUCCUGGUGUAGCGGUGGAAUGCGCAGAUAUCAGGAGGAACACCAAUAGCGAAGGCAGCUCGCUGGGACGGUACUGACGCUAAGGCGCGAAAGCGUGGGGAGCGAACAGG